rnacentral:rRNA from 1 species
GUGCCAGCCGCCGCGGUAAUACGUAGGGGGCGAGCGUUGUCCGGAAUUACUGGGCGUAAAGGGCGCGUAGGCGGCCUCUUAAGUCGGGUGUGAAACGCCGCGGCUCAACCGCGGACCGGCAUCCGAUACUGGGGGGCUUGAGGGCAGGAGAGGGAAGCGGAAUUCCCGGUGUAGCGGUGGAAUGCGUAGAUAUCGGGAGGAACACCAGUGGCGAAGGCGGCUUCCUGGCCUGUACCUGACGCUGAGGCGCGAAAGCUGGGGGAGCAAACGGGAUUAGAUACCCCGGUAGUCCCAGCUGUAAACGAUGGGCACUAGGUGUGGGGGGUAUCGAUCCCCUCCGUGCCGGAGCUAACGCACUAAGUGCCCCGCCUGGGGAGUACGGCCGCAAGGUUGAAACUCAAAUGAAUUGACGGGG